rnacentral:misc_RNA from 1 species
AAGGAAAUGAAUUGUUAAAAUAAGAACAAUGGAUUAAAUAUGGGCCAGGCCAGAGCACCAAAAAAUAUGUUGAAACAUAAUUGGGCUUGUUUGGGUAGGGUCAGAUGUUAGGGGGAAAAAAACCCAUCGCGCAUCGACCCGACCCGACCUAAUAGCAAAUUGGCAGAAAUGAACCCUCCCAAAACCCUAGCAGUUGAACAAAACCCCAGGGUAUCUCACCUCGCUUCGCUUACCCUGCUGCGACCAAGAAACCUCCUGCUCUUCUUUUCCAUUCUAACUCUCGCCAAUACAGUGAACUAUGAGGCCGCCUAGAGGUGGCGGUUUUAGGGGGGGUAGAGACGGGGGACGCGGUGGUCGCGGCGGCGGUUCUCGUGGUCGCGGUUUUGGCGGUCGCGGUGGUGGUGGUGGGUUUCGUGACGAGGGACCUCCUUCUGAAGUCGUCGAAGUUUCCACUUUUCUUCAUGCCUGUGAGGGUGAUGCUGUGACAAAGCUCACCAAUGAGAAAAUACCAUACUUCAAUGCCCCAAUCUUUCUACAAAACAAGACCCAGAUAGGGAAAGUUGACGAAAUCUUUGGUCCCAUCAAUGAAUCUUAUUUUUCUAUUAAAAUGAUGGAAGGCAUUGUGGCAACUUCAUAUUCGCCUGGGGACAAAUUCUACAUUGAUCCAAAUAAGCUUUUACCUCUUGCAAGAUUUCUUCCGCAACCAAAGGGACAGGCACAAGCUGCUGCAAGAGGUGGUCGUGGAGGCAGCAGAGGUGGCAGUAGAGGUGGUGGCCGAGGAGGUGGUGGCUUUCGUGGAAGGGGGGGUCCAAGAGGCGGUAGAGGUGGACCUCCUAGAGGAGGUGCCCGUGGAGGUGGCUUUAGGGGCCGAGGGAGGUCAUAGAAGAAUUUUGUGUAAUAUUAUUGUGCUUUUAUCCAUGAAAGGUUUUGUUUUAUGGUGCAAUGGACAAACAACAAUCAAUGUUUGGAUACUAAUUUGAACUUUGUUGUUGAAGAAGUGAAUUUUUGUUACACAUCUAUUGGUGUUUUUCUAACCUCUAGAUCUUCUAUUAUCAAUUGUUCCAGAGUUCUAUGAAUAUUUGCUUACCAUCAAAUGGAUUUUUUCGGAAA